GUGCCAGCCGCCGCGGUAAUACGGAGGGUGCAAGCGUUAUCCGGAUUUAUUGGGUUUAAAGGGUGCGUAGGCGGUUUGAUAAGUCAGCGGUGAAAUAUUUCAGCUUAACUGGAAGGGUGCCGUUGAUACUGUCGAGCUUGAAUUUAGUUGCUGUGGGUGGAAUGUGUGGUGUAGCGGUGAAAUGCAUAGAUAUCACACAGAAUAUCGAUUGCGAAGGCAGCUCACAAAGCUAAUAUUGACGCUGAUGCACGAAAGUGUGGGGAUCAAACAGG
rnacentral:rRNA from 1 species